UACGAGGGGGGCGAGCGUUGUUCGGAAUUAUUGGGCGUAAAGGGUGCGUAGGCGGUUUGGUAAGUCUGAUGUGAAAUCUAUGGGCUCAACUCAUAGUCUGCAUCGGAAACUGCCGGGCUUGAGUGUGGGAGAGGUGAGUGGAAUUCCUGGUGUAGCGGUGAAAUGCGUAGAUAUCAGGAGGAACACCGGUGGCGAAGGCGGUUCUCUGGGCAUGUCCUGACGCUGAGGAGCGAAAGUGUGGGGAGCGAACAGG
rnacentral:rRNA from 1 species